rnacentral:rRNA from 1 species
CAGCAGCCGCGGGAAUACGAAGGGGGCUAGCGUUGCUCGGAAUGACUGGGCGUAAAGGGCGCGUAGGCGGUUUGCACAGUCGGGUGUGAAAUUCCUGGGCUUAACCUGGGGGCUGCAUUCGAGACGUGUAGGCUUGAGUGGGGAAGAGGGUCGUGGAAUUCCCAGUGUAGAGGUGAAAUUCGUAGAUAUUGGGAAGAACACCGGUGGCGAAGGCGGCGACCUGGUCCUUUACUGACGCUGAGGCGCGAAAGCGUGGGGAGCAAACAGGAUUAGAUACCCCAGUAGUCCCUGUCUCUUAUAA